AACGAACGCUGGCGGCGUGGAUAAGACAUGCAAGUCGAGCGAUCGUUAACGGGUAGCAAUAUUCGUUAGCGGGAGCGGCGCAAGGGUGCGUAACACGUGGGUAAUCUGCCGUGAAGUUUGGGAUAAUCCCGCGAAAGCGGGACUAAUACCGGAUGUGACCAUUGGGAGGCAUCUUCUGAUGGUUAAAGUUGGGGACCGUAAGGCCUGACGCUUCAUGAUGAACCCGCGGCCUAUCAGCUAGUUGGUGAGGUAACGGCUCACCAAGGCUAAGACGGGUAGCUGGUCUGAGAGGACGACCAGCCACACUGGAACUGAGACACGGUCCAGACACCUACGGGUGGCAGCAGUCGAGAAUUUUUCACAAUGGGCGCAAGCCUGAUGGAGCGACGCCGCGUGGGGGAUGAAUGGCUUCGGCCCGUAAACCCCUGUCAUUUGCGAUCAAACCUUAUUAUUUAAAAGAUGAUGAGUUGAUAGUAGCGAAAGAGGAAGGGACGGCUAACUCUGUGCCAGCAGCCGCGGUAAUACAGAGGUCCCAAGCGUUGUUCGGAUUCACUGGGCGUAAAGGGUGCGUAGGUGGUGGGGUAAGUCGGAUGUGAAAGCUCGGAGCUCAACUCCGAAAUGGCAUUGGAAACUACCCUGCU
rnacentral:rRNA from 2 species